AGGGAUAUAGUUCAAAGGCAGAAUACCGGUCUCCAAAACCGUUGAUGUGGGUUCGAUUCCUACUAUCCCUG
rnacentral:tRNA from 1 species